rnacentral:rRNA from 1 species
ACGUAGGGGGCAAGCGUUGUCCGGAUUUACUGGGUGUAAAGGGCGCGCAGGCGGAAUGGAAAGUCAGGGGUGAAAUCCUACAGCUUAACUGUAGAACUGCCUUUGAUACUUGCAGUCUUGAGUUCGGCAGAGGGAGGUGGAAUUCCAGGUGUAGUGGUGAAAUGCGUAGAUAUGUGGAGGAACACCGAUGGCGAAGGCAGUCCCCUGGGCCGAUACUGACGCUCAUGCGCGAAAGCGUGGGGAGCAAACAG